rnacentral:rRNA from 1 species
GCUCCAAUAGCGUAUAUUAAAGUUGUUGCAGUUAAAAAGCUCGUAGUUGAAUUUCUGGGCAACAGGUUCGGUCCGUGGUUCAUUUAUUUGUGCCAUUGUGUAUCGUCUUCAAUGUUGCUCAUCUUAGUAGUGAGUGUUACUGGCAUUUAGUUGUCGGUAGCAGGAGCUGCUUCGUUUACUGUGAAUAAAUUAGAGUGUUU